rnacentral:lncRNA from 1 species
CUCUCCCUCAGAUUUUGCUGAGACAUCCUUCCUUACACCUACUGUUGGAUCAUCAUCCCCUGCCCUACAUCGACACUAGGUUCUAUAGCUGGAGAGCAUCACCCAAGACCAUCUGCUUUCCCUCACACACCAGCAAUGCCUUACAGUUUUUCUACAGAGGGAGUUAUAGAUCAGAUUAUGGAUCAGAUGGGCAGGAUGUUUGUUGACUUCAAGUCUCAGAUCUUGGAGAGCCACAUUGCACUUCAAGAGCACACUCAAUCACAGUUUCAAUAGCUUCAUGAUGACUUGC